GGGGCUCGGGCUCAGGGGCAGAGCGCUCGCUGGCACGUGCGAGGCCCUGGGUUCGAUCCCCAGCCCCA
rnacentral:tRNA from 1 species